ACAGAGGGUGCAAGCGUUAAUCGGAAUUACUGGGCGUAAAGCGCGCGUAGGUGGUUUGUUAAGUUGGAUGUGAAAUCCCCGGGCUCAACCUGGGAACUGCAUCCAAAACUGGCGAGCUAGAGUAGGGCAGAGGGUGGUGGAAUUUCCGGUGUAGCGGUGAAAUGCGUAGAUAUAGGAAGGAACACCAGUGGCGAAGGCGACCACCUGGACCAACAUUGACACUGAGGCACGAAAGCGUGGGGAGCAAACAG
rnacentral:rRNA from 1 species